UACGUAGGGGACGAGCGUUGUCCGGAAUUACUGGGCGUAAAGGGCGCGCAGGCUGCGUUACAAGUCAGCUGUUAAAUGCAUGGGCUUACCCCAUGAGUGCGGUUGAAACUGUAGUGCUAGAGUACUGUAGAGGCAAGCGGAAUUCCCAGUGUAGCGGUGAAAUGCGUAGAUAUUGGGAGGAACACCGGUGGCGUAGGCGGCUUGCUGGACAGUAACUGACGCUGAGGCGCGAAAGCCAGGGGAGCAAACGGGAUUAGAUACCCGGGUA
rnacentral:rRNA from 1 species